AAAAGAAGGACUAAAAAACGAGAACACGCCAGUUAUGUACAAGUGACAAGAUUAUCCUGACUUUCGCUAGCUACUUUCUUUUAUUGUUUUGUAGAAUCUAAAGUGGUAAAAUGUAAUGUGAACAAGUAUUAUUACUAAAAAGAAGCUUUCAUCUCACAACCGAAGGCCCGAGUCAUUACUUUGAAGAGAGAACUUCAAAAUGAGAUCCUGCCAUGGAAAAGACGACGGACAUGAAGUGGAAAGGAGGGGAAAUAACUCACACCAUGCAGCAGGACACCUUCAGCUGUGUGGUUUUUGUAAUGCAGAUGGCCAAGGAAGUUGCACAGAACUUCCCCAACAUCCCCUCCCAAAUUGAUAUGGAACCUUCAAAAACACAUGGAGCAAGUGCGAAAAUAAAUGGCUGAGGAUAUACUAAAAAUGUCUGGUUUGUAAUGACAUUUAAUUCAAAGUAAAUGUAAAUUCUUUAUUUUUAUGUAGUUGUGUCGGACAGUCAUUUGUUCAGUUCAUGCCUAUGAUUUCAGAGUUCAACAAAGCCAACAACUGCUUCAUGUGUGCCACUGAUAAAGAACCUGGAUGUAGCACAAAGACUGCCUGGAUUGAAUGUUUUGCAGGCCAAAGGUGGUUCCAUGUGCUGUAACUAGGAAUGAAGACAAAAUAGUUAAACAGAGCAAACAACACAAACUGGAAGUGCUGUCUUUGUUGUUGAAAAUGUAUGCUAUACCCCAUCCACACUGAAGAGGCUCUGACAUGUACAUCAACCAGGGAUAAAGAGAAAGUUAACACUGUGAAAUGUUUCAUACUUAUUUUUAAUUGUAUGUUGACACGUUGGAAAAGAUUAAAGGUGUACAAUUUCUGUU